rnacentral:rRNA from 1 species
GAUGAACGCUGGCUACAGGCUUAACACAUGCAAGUCGAGGGGAAACGCCGGGGAAGCUUGCUUCCCCGGGCGUCGACCGGCGCACGGGUGAGUAACGCGUAUCCAACCUGCCUCUGACUGAGGGAUAACCCGUCGAAAGUCGGCCUAAUUCCUCAUGGCAUCGUCUGCGGGCAUCCAACGACGAUUAAAGAUUUCAUCGGUCAGGGAUGGGGAUGCGUCUGAUUAGCUAGUUGGCGGGGUAACGGCCCACCAAGGCGACGAUCAGUAGGGGUUCUGAGAGGAAGGUCCCCCACAUUGGAACUGAGACACGGUCCAAACUCCUACGGGAGGCAGCAGUGAGGAAUAUUGGGCAAUGGGCGAGAGCCUGAACCAGCCAAGUAGCGUGCAGGAUGACGGCCCUAUGGGUUGUAAACUGCUUUUAUGCGGGGAUAAAGUGAGGGACGUGUCCUUCAUUGCAGGUACCGCAUGAAUAAGGACCGGCUAAUUCCGUG